rnacentral:rRNA from 1 species
UGAAGCGGCCAUGUCACUCUGCGUCUCCCAGCUGUCAGCCCCACUGCAGCUCAGCAGGAGUGAGCCUGGUCAGUACCUGGAUGGGAGACCUCCUGGGAAAGCUAAGGUUGCUGCUGGAA